GACGAACGCUGGCGGCGUGCCUAAUACAUGCAAGUAGAACGCUGAAGAGAGGAGCUUGCUCUUCUUGGAUGAGUUGCGAACGGGUGAGUAACGCGUAGGUAACCUGCCUUGUAGCGGGGGAUAACUAUUGGAAACGAUAGCUAAUACCGCAUAACAAUUGAUGACACAUGUCAUCUAUUUGAAAGGGGCAAUUGCUCCACUACAAGAUGGACCUGCGUUGUAUUAGCUAGUAGGUGAGGUAAUGGCUCACCUAGGCGACGAUACAUAGCCGACCUGAGAGGGUGGUCGGCCACACUGGGACUGGGACACGGCCCAGACUCCUACGGGAGGCAGCAGUAGGGAAUCUUCGGCAAUGGGGGCAACCCUGACCGAGCAACGCCGCGUGAGUGAAGAAGGUUUUCGGAUCGUAAAGCUCUGUUGUAAGUCAAGAACGGGUGUGAGAGUGGAAAGUUCACACUGUGACGGUAGCUUACCAGAAAGGGACGGCUAACUACGUG
rnacentral:rRNA from 1 species